GGGUAUAUAGCUCAGUGGUAGAGCACAUGCUUCGCGUGCACCAGGUCCUGGGUUCAAUCCCCAGUACUUCCA